rnacentral:rRNA from 1 species
AGUGAACGCUGGCGGUAGGCCUAACACAUGCAAGUCGAACGGCAGCACAGUAAGAGCUUGCUCUUACGGGUGGCGAGUGGCGGACGGGUGAGGAAUACAUCGGAAUCUACUUUUUCGUGGGGGAUAACGUAGGGAAACUUACGCUAAUACCGCAUACGACCUACGGGUGAAAGCAGGGGAUCUUCGGACCUUGCGCGAUUGAAUGAGCCGAUGUCGGAUUAGCUAGUUGGCGGGGUAAAGGCCCACCAAGGCGACGAUCCGUAGCUGGUCUGAGAGGAUGACAACCGGCACAGGGUCUGAGGGGCGGCACAGGGGGGUAAGGGAGGAAAAAGGGGGGAAGCUUGCACCAUGCGCGGCAGGGGGGUGAAGAGGGCCUGCGGGUGGGAAGACCGUUUUGGGGGGAAAAAAAACCAGCAGGUUAAAACCCGCGUUUGUGACGGUACCCGAAAAAAAAGCGCCGGCUAACUUCGUG